GAUGAACGCUGACAGAAUGCUUAACACAUGCAAGUCAACUUGAACUUCGGUUUGGGUGGCGGACGGGUGAGUAACGCGUAAAGAACUUGCCUCACAGUUAGGGACAACAUUUGGAAACGAAUGCUAAUACCUGAUAUUAUGAUUUUAGGGCAUCCUAGAAUUAUGAAAGCUAUAUGCGCUGUGAGAGAGCUUUGCGUCCCGUUAGCUAGUUGGAGAGGUAACGGCUCACCAAGGCGAUGAUGGGUAGCCGGCCUGAGAGGGUGAACGGCCACAAGGGGACUGAGACACGGCCCUUACUCCUACGGGAGGCAGCAGUGGGGAAUAUUGGACAAUGGACCAAGAGUCUGAUCCAGCAAUUCUGUGUGCACGAUGAAGUUUUUCGGAAUGUAAAGUGCUUUCAGUUGGGAAGAAAAAAAUGACGAUACCAACAGAAGAAGUGACGGCUAAAUACGUG
rnacentral:rRNA from 1 species